ACCUCUUUACCUGAGCUGUGGUAUUUUUAAAUAGACAGCUCGCCUUGACGUGCAGUGAGCUGAUGACUUAAGGGGAGUCCCCCAUGGCUCUUUUGGAGUGAACCAGCCUGGAGUGGAGGACAGCAAGGCUUUACCGGUUGCUGUUAUCUCCUGCGACAUUGCUGAUUACAGGUGAUCAGACGAGCAUCUCUAAAUUGAACGACAGGUCAAACCUUGGAGCAGAUGGGCUAAAGCAGCUGAAGACCAUAUCUGAUGCCCCUCUGUUCAACUAAGAACAG